rnacentral:rRNA from 1 species
AGCAGUCGCCGCGGGAAUACGAAGGGGGCUAGCGUUGCUCGGAUUUACUGGGCGUAAAGCGCACGUAGGCGGAAAUUUAAGUCAGGGGUGAAAUCCCGAGGCUCAACCUCGGAACUGCCUUUGAUACUGGGUUUCUUGAGUCCGGAAGAGGUGAGUGGAACUGCGAGUGUAGAGGUGAAAUUCGUAGAUAUUCGCAAGAACACCAGUGGCGAAAGCGGCUCACUGGUCCGGAACUGACGCUGAGGUGCGAAAGCGUGGGGAGCAAACAGGAUUAGAUACCCCCGUAGUCCCUGUCUCUUAUAC